GCGGGAAUAGCUCAGUUGGUAGAGCGCAACCUUGCCAAGGUUGAGGUCGAGAGUUCGAGACUCUUCUCCCGCUCCA
rnacentral:tRNA from 3 species